UCACCCCUCAAGCCCCCGGCUUGGUGUUGGACGGUUUAGCCUUGGGUGACGAGGCCCGUCUUAAAAUCAAUGACGGCGGCCUGUUCGACCCCCGGUACACUGAGCUUCUGAACUGAGCACGUAUCGGUUGAAGGGUAGGCAGGACCCGGUCUUCUUUCUUAACCGGAAACUCUUUUCAA
rnacentral:misc_RNA from 1 species